UCAAGUUAUUAAGGGUGCAGGGCGGAUGCCUUGGCACUAGGAGCCGAUGAAGGACGUGAUAAGCUGCGAUAAGCUUCGGGGAGUUGCACGUAAACUUUGAUCCGAAGAUUUCCGAAUGAGGAAACUCACUUAGAGUAAUGUCUAAGUAUCAUUAAGUGAAUACAUAGCUUAAUGAGGGGAACUCAGGGAACUGAAACAUCUAAGUACCUGAAGGAAGAGAAAGAAAUUCGAUUCCGUAAGUAGCGGCGAGCGAACGCGGAUUAGCCCAAACCAAUAAAGUUUUCUUUAUUGGGGUUGCGGACAUAUCAUAACGAAGAGGUAUCGUAAUUGAAGAGGUUUGGAAAGACCCACCAUAGAAGGUAAUAGUCCUGUAUGUUAAACGAGAAGACUUUAGAUAUGAUCCAGAGUACCACGGGACACGUGAAACCCUGUGGGAAGCAGGAGGGACCACCCUCCAAGGCUAAAUACUACCUAGUGACCGAUAGCGUAUAGUACCGUGAGGGAAAGGUGAAAAGAACCCCGGGAGGGGAGUGAAAUAGAACCUGAAACCCUGCACUUACAAGCUGUGGAAGCACAUUUCUUGUGUGACCGCGUACUUUUUGUAGAACGGGCCAACGAGUUACGUUAAGUAGCAAGGUUAAGCACUUAAGGUGCGGAGCCGUAGCGAAAGCGAGUUUUAACUGAGCGUUCAGUUACUUGACGUAGACCCGAAACCGGGCGACCUACCCAUGAGCAGGAUGAAGCGAAAGUAAAAUUUCGUGGAGGUCCGAACCCACGAGCGUUGAAAAGCUCGGGGAUGACUUGUGGGUAGCGGUGAAAUUCCAAUCGAGCCCGGAGAUAGCUGGUUCUCCCCGAAAUAGCUUUAGGGCUAGCCUCAAGGUGAGAGAUACGGAGGUAGAGCACUGAAUGUCCUAGGGGGUAUUGCACCUACCGAAGACUAUCAAACUCCGAAUGCCGUCAUCUUAUACUUGGGAGUCAGACUGUGGGUGAUAAGAUUCAUAGUCGAAAGGGCAACAGCCCAGAUCGUCAGCUAAGGUCCCUAAAUGUAAGUUAAGUGGUAAAGGAUGUGGGAUUGCACAGACAACCAGGAUGUUGGCUUAGAAGCAGCCACUCAUUCAAAGAGUGCGUAAUAGCUCACUGGUCGAGUGAUCCUGCGCCGAAGAUUUCCGGGGCUAAAACUUACUACCGAAGCUACGGCAUCAGUAAUGAUGGGUAGGGGAGCUUCCCAUACGGGUUGAAGCAUGACCGUAAGGACAUGUGGACAGUAUGGGAGUGAGAAUGUUGGCAUGAGUAGCGAGAUGUGGGUGAGAAUCCCACAGGCCGUAAACCCAAGGUUUCCAGGGGAAGGUUCGUCCGCCCUGGGUUAGUCGGGACCUAAGCUGAGGCCGAAAGGCGUAGGUGAUGGACAACAGGUUGAUAUUCCUGUACUACCGAUAACCGUUUGAGAGAAGGGAUGACACAGUAGGAUAAGCUAAGCACACUGUUGGUUAUGUGUGCCCAAGCAUUGAGGCAGUCAAAGUAGGCAAAUCCGCUUUGAUAAUGCUGGGAUGUGAUGGGGAGCGAAAUUUAGUAGCGAAGUAGCUGAUUUCACACUGUCAAGAAAAGUCUCUAUCGAGGUUAAAGGUACCCGUACCGCAAACCGACACAGGUGGGUGAGGAGAGUAUCCUAAGGCCAGCGAGAGAACUGUUGUUAAGGAACUCGGCAAAAUGACCCCGUAACUUAGGGAUAAGGGGUGCCACCAUCAGGUGGCCGCAGAGAAUAGGCCCAAGCGACUGUUUACCAAAAACAUAGGUUUCUGCUAAGUCGCAAGACGAUGUAUAGGAGCUGACGCCUGCCCGGUGCUGGAAGGUUAAGGGGAUCUGUUAGAGCAAUCGAAGCAGUGAACUUAAGCCCCAGUAAACGGCGGCCGUAACUAUAACGGUCCUAAGGUAGCGAAAUUCCUUGUCGGGUAAGUUCCGACCCGCACGAAAGGCGUAACGAUUUGGGCACUGUCUCAACAACAGACUCGGUGAAAUUGUAAUUCCGGUGAAGAUGCCGGAUACCUGCGACAGGACGGAAAGACCCCAUGGAGCUUUACUGUAGCUUGACAUUGGGUCUUGGUACUACAUGUACAGGAUAGGUGGGAGGCUUUGAAACCAGGACGCCAGUUUUGGCGGAGCCAUCCUUGGGAUACCACCCUUGUAGUACUGGGACUCUAACCAUAGGCCAUGAAUCUGGUCUUGGGACACUGUCAGGUGGGCAGUUUGACUGGGGCGGUCGCCUCCCAAAAGGUAACGGAGGCGCUCAAAGGUUCUCUCAGUACGGUCGGAAAUCGUACGUAGAGUGUAAAGGCAAAAGAGAGCUUGAUUGCAAGACAUACAGGUCGAGCAAGGAUGAAAAUCGGACUUAGUGAUCCGGUGGUUCUGCGUGGAAGGGCCAUCGCUCAACGGAUAAAAGCUACCCUGGGGAUAACAGGCUUAUCUCCCCCAAGAGUCCACAUCGACGGGGAGGUUUGGCACCUCGAUGUCGGCUCAUCACAUCCUGGGGCUGUAGUAGGUCCCAAGGGUUGGGCUGUUCGCCCAUUAAAGUGGUACGCGAGCUGGGUUCAGAACGUCGUGAGACAGUUCGGUCCCUAUCCGUCGCAGGCGUAGGAAAUUUGAGAAGACCUGUCCUUAGUACGAGAGGACCGGGAUGGACGUACCUCUGGUGUACCAGUUGUCCUGCCAAGGGCAUGGCUGGGUAGCUAUGUACGGAAUGGAUAAGCGCUGAAAGCAUCUAAGCGCGAAGCCAACUUCAAGAUAAGAUUUCCCACCGUAAGGGUAAGACCCCAGAAAGACUAUCUGGUUGAUAGGUCGAAGGUGUAAGUGCAGCAAUGUAUUUAGCUUAUCGAUACUAAUAGGUCGAGGACUUGACCAA
rnacentral:rRNA from 1 species